rnacentral:rRNA from 1 species
GAUGAACGCUGGCGGCGUGCUUAAUACAUGCAAGUCGAGCGAACGGACGAGGAGUUUGCUUCUCUGUCGUUAGCGGCGGACGGGUGAGUAACACGUGGAUAACCCACCUAUAAUACUGGUAAAACUUCGGGAAUCCGGCGCUUAUCCCGGAUGAUCUCUUGAACCGUAUGGUGCAUAGGUGAAAGACGGUCUUGCUGUCACUACUAGCUGGAUCCGGGCUGCUUUAGCUGGUUGGUAGGGUCACGGCCUACCAAGGCAACGAUGCAUGGCCGACCUGUUAGAGUGGUCGGCGACACUGGAGCUGAGACACGGUCCUGAGGCCUACGGGAGGCAGCAGUAGGGAACCGUCCGCAAUAGGCGGAAGCCUGACAGAGCGACGGCGCGUGAGUGGUGGGGGUCUUCGGUGCGUAAAACUCGCUUAUUGGGGAAGAACAUAUGUGUAAUUAACUGUACACAGCUUGACGGUACCUAGUCAAGAAGCAACGGCUAACUACGUG